rnacentral:rRNA from 1 species
UGCAGCGGUUCCUACGGGAGGCAGCAGUGGGGAAUUUUGGACAAUGGGCGCAAGCCUGAUCCAGACAUGCCGCGUGCAGGAUGAAGGCCUUCGGGUUGUAAACUGCUUUUGUACGGAACGAAACGGCCUUUUCUAAUAAAGAGGGCUAAUGACGGUACCGUAAGAAUAAGCACCGGCUAAUUACGUGCCAGCAGCCGCGGUAAUACGUAGGGUGCAAGCGUUAAUCGGAAUUACUGGGCGUAAAGCGUGCGCAGGCGGUAAUGUAAGACAGUUGUGAAAUCCCCGGGCUCAACCUGGGAACUGCAUCUGUGACUGCAUUGCUGGAGUACGGCAGAGGGGGAUGGAAUUCCGCGUGUAGCAGUGAAAUGCGUAGAUAUGGGGAGAAAAAAAGAGGAGGAAGAGAAUCCCCGGGGCCUGUAG